GAGUUCGAUUAUGAAAUAGAUUGACGAACUUAUGUGGUUACCCUUACAUGCAGAUCGAACAGCAGCACGGACUUUCGGUCACGGUGGCGAGUAAGCGAGCAGAUUGGUAAUGUAUCAGAACGUGCUGACGGCAGGGAAUAACUACGCGAAAAGCGUAGCUAAUACACCUUCGCCCUGCGAAGCGGGGAUGUGAAGACCUUGCUGUGCAGGGCAAUGGAAGCAUCGGAUUAGCUAGUUGGUGAGGCCCGGCGGCUGCGCAGGGCGACGUCCGUAGCUGGUUGAGAGGACGACCAACCGCACUGGGACUGAGGAACACGGCCCAGACUCCUAGGGAGGAGCAGCAGUGGGGGUACGGACAAUGGAAACCACCCAGUCCCAGCCAUCCACGUGUGCGAUGACCUUCGAGUUGUGCUUCUUUGCUUGGGAAAAAGCAUCGUGGAGUUAAUACCCGCGAAACUGACGGUUUCUACAGAAUAUUCCGGCUAACUGCGUGCCAGCAGCCGCGGUAAUACGUAGAAUUCCAUGGCGUUAAUCAGGAUUACUGGGCAGUAAAAAUGGUGGCGGGCUUGGUUCGGAAAGAAGAUGUAGUCGGGGCAACUUUGGAGAACUACGUUACCAACUACCGGGCUGGAGUGUGUCAGGAGGUGGAAUUCGCGUGUAACAGUAGAGUAAAUGAGCCAUUAGGAGGAACACCGAUGGCGAAAAAGCUAACCUCCUGGUGUUUACUGACGCUCGUACACGAAAGCAGUGGGAGCAACAGGAUUAGAUACCCUGGUAGUCCACGCCUAAACGAUGUCAACUACUCUGAGACCUUCGGGCGGUAGUACAACUAACGUGAGAUUGACCGCCUGAGAAUACCGGUCACCAAUUAAAACUCAAAGAAAUUGACUGAGGACCCGCACAAGCGGUGGAUGAUGUGGAUUAAUUCGAUGCAACGCGAAAAGCCUUACCCUGCCCUUGACAUGUCUGGAAUACAGAAGAGAUUUGCGAGUGCUCACCAAAACCGGAACACAGGUGCUGCAUGGCUGUGGAAAUCGCUCGUGUCGUGAGAUGUUGGGUUAGUCAGCAACUGGCCUGUCGUGAACCCCACUACAAAAGGGCACUCGUAGGACUAUGACAAACCGGAGGGAAAGGUGGGGAUGACGUCAAGUCCUCAUGGCCCUUAUGGGUAGGGCUUCACGUCAUGCAAUGGUCGGGACAGUCGCCAGCCGCGGAGCGAUCUGAAGGCGUCGUAGUCCGGAUCACUCAGUCUGCUCGACUGCGUGAAGUCCAGAUCGCUGGUAAUCGCCAGAUCAGCAUGUCGCGGUGAAUACGUUCCCGGGUCUUGUACACGCCCGUCACACCAUGGGAGUGGGUUUUACCGAAGUAGUUAGCCUAACCGCAAGGGGCGAUUACCACGGUAGGAUUCAUGACUGGGUAGAGUCGUAACAAGGUAA
rnacentral:rRNA from 1 species